rnacentral:lncRNA from 1 species
UGGUUAAGGUCUUCCAUCUCAAAUAAUUGGAAUUCUAUAUUUGUCUCAUCCUUGCUAGAAAAAUCAUCAUCUAAAAAUAUAAUAUCUCUUGAUUCUAUUUUAGUUAUUCCUCCAUCUGAAUGUCCAUCAAUGAAUACAUAUCCUUUUGAAUAUUCAGGAUAUCUUAUAAAGAUACAUUUCUUCCCUCUAAGACUCAAUUUUCUAUACUUGUGGGAACACUCGUGAACAUAAGCUGCUU